rnacentral:rRNA from 1 species
CCUACGGGGCGCACCAGUGGGGAAUAUUGCACAAUGGGCGCAAGCCUGAUGCAGCCAUGCCGCGUGUAUGAAGAAGGCCUUCGGGUUGUAAAGUACUUUCAGCGGGGAGGAAGGUGUUGUGGUUAAUAACCACAGCAAUUGACGUUACCCGCAGAAGAAGCACCGGCUAACUCCGUGCCAGCAGCCGCGGUAAUACGGAGGGUGCAAGCGUUAAUCGGAAUUACUGGGCGUAAAGCGCACGCAGGCGGUCUGUCAAGUCGGAUGUGAAAUCCCCGGGCUCAACCUGGGAACUGCAUUCGAAACUGGCAGGCUAGAGUCUUGUAGAGGGGGGUAGAAUUCCAGGUGUAGCGGUGAAAUGCGUAGAGAUCUGGAGGAAUACCGGUGGCGAAGGCGGCUUACUGGUCUGCAACUGACGCUGAGGCGCGAAAGCGUGGGGAGCAAACAGGAUUAGAUACCCGCGUAGUC